rnacentral:rRNA from 1 species
AACGAACGCUGGCGGCAUGCCUAACACAUGCAAGUCGAACGAGACCUUCGGGUCUAGUGGCGCACGGGUGCGUAACGCGUGGGAACCUGCCCUUAGGUUCGGAAUAACUCCCCGAAAGGGGUGCUAAUACCGGAUAUUUUCUUCGGACCAAAGAUUUAUCGCCUUUGGAUGGGCCCGCGUUGGAUUAGCUAGUUGGUAGGGUAAAAGCCUACCAAGGCGACGAUCCAUAGCUGGUCUGAGAGGAUGAUCAGCCACACUGGGACUGAGACACGGCCCAGACUCCUACGGGAGGCAGCAGUGGGGAAUAUUGGACAAUGGGCGAAAGCCUGAUCCAGCAAUGCCGCGUGAGUGAUGAAGGCCUUAGGGUUGUAAAGCUCUUUUACCCGGGAUGAUAAUGACAGUACCGGGAGAAUAAGCUCCGGCUAACUCCGUG